CGGCAUGUGGAAAGUGAACAUUAGCUGUCAACUGGUUCAUCAGCCAACUCUUUAAAAACUCUUAGGUAGAUGCUAUCCUGACACACUGAUUUAACAAUGUUUAACUUUAGUAGCUGCUAUUUAACAUCUUGAGUUACUGCUGGAAUGGAAAGUAUUUCACCAUCAUCCUAUAAGAUGAUUACAUCACCUGGCUUCUUCACAAGUACAAAACAGGAAUUUGUCUGCCUUCUCUACAGGGCUGUUGACAAUUUAAAUGCUCCCAGCCUGCAGUGGCUCCAUGUCAUUGUGGAUGCUGCUCUUUGGGCUUCUCCCUCUCCUCCCUUUCAGUCUGGGGAGCAGGAACCCAUCUCUUUCCACCUCUUUGAUUCCUCUCCCUCCUUCUUGCUGACCCCCCCCACGUUGUGAAUCCAAUUAGGGUUGUGGUGGGGCUCGCAGCUGCUCUGCAUUAAAUACACCGAGCCUGUUUGGUGCACCGUGGAGCCAGAUGAGAUGCCAGCCUGUUCUCUUUAAAUUCCUGGCUUGUGUUUAGGUUUCUGGAGGUUGGAGCAGAACAAGAGGGUGUGAGAUGAGGGGGCUGAGGCUUUUUUUUUUUUCCCUGGUGGUCCCAAACUCCAGGAAAUGCUGACCUGGCAGGGAAGAGCACAGGUGGCCCAGGACAGAGGAAAGGCAACGCUGCUGAAGGAAGCAGGCUAUUGUCACAUUCAGAGCUCAUGGAGACCCUGUGGUCAAGAAGACAGUUUUCAAGUCUGAAACCAAAGCUAGCAAUUUCUUUUCAAAACAUUGUGAUCCCAGAAGCACCGUGGUUGUUACACCCGCAGCUGUGACAGGAGACAGGAGUAGUGAAAAUAUAUGGACACAUGAUAAAGGCUUUAUUCAUCUCAAACUAUCAAAAUGCCCAAACCCUCAAGAUUAUUGAGAAUUAAAGUGCAGCCUGAAGUGGAGCCCAUAAAAUAGAGUAACAUGGAUGCUUUUCUCCCAAUGGCAGUUCUUCCAGUCUGGAUGGCAUUUCAAAAGACCGUAGUGACUUCUGAAGAGGCUGUAGCAACAGAUAAUAUUCGUCAAACAGCAAACAGCACCAUCUAUUAAAUGCACUAUAUCUGCCUUUUUAUGGCAUCAUCUCUCCAGGAGGCUUUCUGCAGAGACAUGGAAAUGGUCUGUGCAGCAACGUAGGCUUUCAGACACCAGCCAGUGGUUUCCAUCACGCUGUUCCACCUCUCUCCCGGUCCUUCACGAGAGAAAAUUGUGUCUCUUCUGUCCUGGACUGUGCAGAGCUCACAGAUUCGGGCUGGUGCCCAGUGCAGUGGCCCAAAGUACCCACAGAAUGAGCCACAGAAUGAGCUUUCCUCUGUCCCCUUCUCUCUUCUCCUUUCUUUGUCCCUCCAGUCUUGCGCACAAGUGACCAUUCUCCAGACACGUAUCACUGUGACCAUGAUCAAGAGCAUUGCUUGGGCACAUAACCUGCCUGUUUCUUCUAGUGCUGAAGCCUGCUGUCUUCCAAAUGGCUCAGGAGCCUCCGGCACAGAGUUUGGUUUGCAGGGAGGUGCGAUGAGGGAGGAGGUUACGCCUCAGGCUGAGCAGCCAGAGAGAUGCUGGAGCUGCUCUCUUCUGCCAGCCAUCACCUGGAGGAUUCCUGGAGCAGAAGGCACGAAGGUUUCCUGUAGGGGAAGCACUAAAGCUUUAGGCCCUUCCUGGUAAUACUCUGUGGGGCAAGUAAAAUUAAUUCUGACCCUGUUGGUGUGUGUGUGCAUCCCUCGUUAACAAACCAGAAGCAGGAGAUGUGGGGAAAACAGGAACAAGAGAAACACUUGGGGAACGGCUCACACCCGGAUAAGCUUCUCGUUCACCUUUACCUGCUGUGCACCCCAAUUAUGGACUAAAAAAUGCCUUCAUUUACCACUGCAUCGCCUUUGCAGAGCUACCCGCAGUCCACAGCACGCCCUUCAUGGUGCGUGGUGCCUCACCACCCUUCCUCUUGUUCAGAGGAGGUGACUGAUGCCCUUGCUGUAAUUUUCAGUCACCUUCACCAGCACAGUGGUUAUGCCAUUACUGUCGCCUCUGUCAGCUCAGACGUUGAGCCGUGCAGUAAUGUUAGUGUUUUACUCUCAAUUUACACCCUGGGAGUGGACCUGUGGCAUUGACUGAGGAAUAAGAGAUGCGGUAGCUGUUGUAAGAAAAAUGUCUCCGGACUUUCUCAAACAUGAUCUGUGGCUAUGUGAAUCCCAGCCUUCGGACCUGCAAAAGGUCUGGAAAUGGCACUGGAAGUGGCAGGGCAGGCCACUUUGCCCUCUCUUAUUGCUUACAACAUUUCUUCUCAUUUCUAAAGAGGUUUAGGAGGCUGGAAGAGGAACUUUGUCAUUGCCACCAUGAGUAUGGUUAAUUUGCAAACAGAGUGAGAAACCUAAGUGUAUGUAUCUACAGGACAGCCUAUAAUUAGAAAUGGUCUUUUUUUCUUUUUUUUUGCUUCUGGAAAGGUUUCUGCUGUCUGGCUCAGAUGGAACCGAUCCCAGUUUGUUUUUGUUUCUCUUGAAUUAGAGCACGGCUGCUCUUUCCAGGAUUUCCCAGGCGAAAAUAUAUGCAUGAGGACCGCGCAUGGUUCUUCGUCGUGGAUAUGUCAAGCCGAAUACACAGGCACUUCACACGCAGUCCGUGCACACUUUGAUGACUUUGGGGUUCACUUGGCCCUCCAGACCUUAUCAGGAGCCCUGGCAGGGAUUUGCCCGUACUGCUCAUAUGUUCCUAUGGAAACCAGAACCAGGAUCUCCUGCGCGCUGCAGUGCUGGAGGGGCAAAAGCAAACAUGGGUGGGAGGGAAGAAACCAGCGGGGUCGUGGGCAAUGUGUGCCCUCCCUUGGCACCAUCAGUGGUGUGCUGAAGCUCCCUGGGAGUGGGAGAGAGGGAAGGAGGCAAUUUCAAUAGCCUGAGCUUGCCUGCAGCAUCCCCGCAGCUCAGAGCGGCCAGGAGCAAGGUGGCAGCUCAACAGGCAUGCACAGCCGGCAGCUUGUGGGUGUGAGGUCUGCUUAGCCCAAGGUGAGCUUGCAGGGUGCAGGAUGCAGCACAACAAUAGCACUGCCCACCUGUGUAGCUUGCUAACGAGCAGGUUUAAUUACCCUGGGAGGAGCUGUAGUGGUAUCCUUGUGCUUGGUCCGUAGCCUCUGCCGCACCGCCCUGCGCAUCGCAGCUCCCCUGGGGAGGGGGCUCCUUCAGGCAGCUGCUGGCUCCUGACACAGCCACGGAUCUCAGAUGUCCUGCACCGUUCAGGAGCUGUGAUCCCAGAGAUUUCGCCCUUUUGUGCCCGGUGGGUUUGUGGCACUGCCCUGGCCGCAUGCUGGCACCAGCACAUCCGCACCCUUUGGUCGGCGUGCCCACGUCCCCGCUGUCCCGCGCCGCAUUUCAACCUGCGGGCCGGGUGGUGGCUGCAGCAGUGAUGAGUGCUGGAGCUGCUAGCAGGCUGGGAACGUCUUUUGUCAAAGCUUGAGAUGCCUCCAACCUCCUUUAAUUAAAGACAAUUACUGCUUUCAGCCCCUCUUCACAGCUCAGCUGGGUUGUUUGCAAACACACAGCUGCGGGAGGCUUUGUGCCCCUCUCCGAGUCCCGCUUCCCUGGAGACGCGCGGAGGUUUCCUUAUUAUCGGCAUUACGGCUAGAGCAGCUGAAGAGGGGGGGCACCCCAGGCUCCCAGGCAUCCAGGGUGUGUGGAGGUGCCUGCAGAAAAGCUUGCACGGCCUCCACAGGGCAGCCUGGAGCAGCACUGCCUGUCCACGUCCAGCCUUUCCUGCAAAACCUCCCGCGGGGUAAAGCGGCACGCGGCGCCGUGGGUCGCAGCGAGUGGCUUCUGCCAGAGGUGUGAAGAGAAACGAAGGACGGGUGAAUGACAGACGGGGGAGGCAUCUGAGCUGCAGUGAAGGUGGCUUUUGCUCCAGCUUCAGAGACAGGGCUGAUCGGACCACAGUUGUGAGCGCUGAGUAUCUGCUUUUACACAGCGCUCUGCUGAGUUAGCCGCGACUCUGCAGCCUCAUCUCAAGAGGCUGCUUUGCCUCCCUGCAGGAACUGCACCAGGCGGGCCAGAUUUGUGCUUUCUUGACUGAACUGUGCUCAGAAAAAAAAAAAUCCGAAACCUCCUGCAACCAAUAACCCCUGU